CUCUGGAGAAACCUCUCUAGGUCAAGGCUGCUGGUGCAGGUCUAAACCUUCCACACACUGACCCAGACACUGACAUGGAUCCAGAUGGUUGCACUAGGAUCUGACCAACAGCAGGCUGUGGGGGAGCUACCAGAAGAUGGGAAGGGAUGCUGGCAUGGCUCCAUCCUCCUGCACUCAUUCCAGAGGGGAAUGGCUCACAUCCAGCUGCUGAACUCCACCUCUGCUGACGGCGGGCAGGGUCUGAGCCGUGCCAGCCACAGGCAAACCGCGGUGUCCGUGUGUCUGUGUGUCCGUGUGUCCUCAGCCAGGACAGGAGAUGCGGCUGGGCCCGGGGCCGCUGCCAGCGCUGCUUGCGGAGAUUCCCCCGAGCUCCCCGGGGCCGAGGGAGCUCCGCUGGCCGAGCCGGGAUCACCUGGAGCCGGGACUGGCAUCCCCAGCUCUGGCAGGGCCGACUGAGCUCCUGUGCCCUCCCUGAGGGAGCACAGAG
rnacentral:lncRNA from 1 species